rnacentral:lncRNA from 1 species
GUGACCGCAAAAUCAUUCUCAAAAUCUCGACACAUUUCUAAAGCUACCAAGUUCAAGAACUUGGAAGCUGUUGAGUCAUCCACCAGGAUGCGUGGCAUCUUUAGGCUUCCCAGAAAGUUGCAAUAGAAGGAAAUGUUUUUCAGGUUGUUUGUCUCGCUAGGUCCAACACCAAUCCCCGAUUCUUUAAGCUCCUUGACGCUACGAAAUGUCUUCCUGUGCUUUCGGUUGUCUCCGCAGGACAGAAGCAAGCGACCUAUCAUACUACUGCUACUCUCCUCUUUCUUUCCCGUCAAGUGUUUUGUCCGCAAGCGCUCCAGAAGAUGAGUGUACUCUUGCUUUUCUUCUUCGUCUGUGUGUUGGCUCUUCUUCCCAUCCGGUAUAUUUGUUAUGAGGUUGUUGCCGACGAAUUUUGUGAUUGAUUGCUCCCACAUUUGGGGGUCUUUCGUUGAGCCAAUCAAUAUGUUGAGAACCCGGUAAGGAAGUUGGUUUUCUAGCAAGAACAAAUCAAGUUGCGCAAAUACCAGAAGAUCUGCUUUAAUGUUCAACUUCUUAAAGUCGCCUUGUAAACCGUAGUGUACAGCAAACAACACCGCACAACCGUCCACGAAGAACAUCCAAGCUAGCUUCUCAUCGUCGUAAUCUUUUAUGUCCUCCGGAUUGUAACACUGCUUCAGAUCCUUUAUCUCUGCCAUAAUCUUAUUGAAUAGAACUUCAUCAGUUGUUUCGUUCUCGUUUGCGAAGAGACCUGCAAGUUUACGCUUGGUGUGCUCUGCCCGCUCGAAAUGCGGCUUACCAUGAUGCAAAGGGCCGAGGGCUACCAGCCUUGGUUCAAAAUAUUUCUUAAAAUCUUCCUUGAUACCGAUCAGGACGGGCGGAACUCUUUGUAUUAGCGGUUUGGCUCUUUGAGAUGAAUCGCUUUCUUGUUUUUGGGCUUCACGCAAGGCUGAUUUCAAUUUCGUUCUCUCGUCUCUGAUGAAAGCCGAGUGCUCUAUCUCAUGAAUCGGAACUCUCACUUCUCCAGGGUGCCUCUCGUUGCUGCUCAUCGAAUCCUACCAGCUUGACGGUUGAAAGGAGGUACGUCAACGACAGUUAUGGGAUGUUUGGAAAUCUAGUAGUGUACUUGGGGAGUUGCCCGAAGAAACAAGAGGACGAAAGGACGGAAGAAAAGGUGAGUAAAGUUUGUGUGUUUUUGCAUGGCGCGAGCUAUUGGGGUAACCUAGCCACUGAAUUUAUGCUUUGCACUAACUAGGUGGAGAUGAUCUUCUUUGUACUUUAUUCAGGUAUCAAGUUUCGAAUAUAUUUUAUCUGCUUUUGUCUUUGUGAAAGAGUGAUUGUUAAGAUUUCAUCCAUGGAAAAAAGUAUUUCAUGGAUAUAUAAAGCAUUUUAUCUUUCAUUUUAAUAAAAUCAGUGAGAGAAAAAUUGGUUCCAGCUCAACUCUUAGAUAAAUGUGUAAAUUUGCAAUAUUUUCUGCCUACAUUAAUUCUAAUGCUGAAUUCAGUACUGCUCGAAGCCAAGAUAGCUGUUUUGUGCUUGGAAUGUAUGAUACUUUGGUUUACUGAGAUGCCAAGUUUAGUAUCUACAUCAUAUUCUGGCCCCCUCUCUUUAUUAAAGUUACAAUUUAUCCUACAAAGUAAUACACGACAUGUAAGAAAGUGGCAUGGUGACAGCUCCUAGCCAAUUCACCUUUCCUUUCAAAAUCAAGUUCUUGAAGGAGGAGUGAAUUGAAGGCUUCAGCCUCAAAUUGGCUGUUCCUAGAGUCUUUGCACUUGCAUUCAAAAAAGAGGAAAAAAUGUGUGAAUUCGGGAAAUGGACUGCGAAUAGCUGGAAAUGGAAAAUUGAUCUAUAGAGAAAUGUUUUUGGUUGGGAACAUGAGCAAUGGGACUACUUUUUCUCUCUCCUUGAUGAUCAAGUGAUUGAUAAGGAUUUUCGAGACAAACUCAUUUCAAAAUGGACCCCCCGAGGUGACAACUCCUUUAAUUCUUUCUAUCGACAGGUUUUACUUACUAACACCCCUUACACAGAUCACUGGAAGAUGAUAUGGUGUGGUUUGGCUCCUUACAAAGUAGAGGUCUUUUGCUGGCAACUUGUGAAAGGAUGCUUGGCUACUAGAGAAACUCUAGGAAUGAUUGGUAUUAUCAAUAGAAACACUACCACUUGCCUCCUUUGUAGAAGAGAACUUGGAAUGGUUAUGUCCACAGCAAGAUCAGAAGUGUUAAUAGUAUUGAAACUUGGUACAGGUCUCAAAUGGGGGUCCUUAAGUUUAACACAAACGGUGCUUCGAGAGACUACCAUGGUGAUUCUAGAAUUGGCGGCAUCUUAUGCAAUGAAAAUAGAGUCAAUCUUUCCAUCUUCUCCAAGCAUAUUGGGGUCAUGUAUGCCAGCCUAGCUGAACUCGCUUAGAUAUACUCAACUUCAAGGAGCAUGUGCAUUGUAAACUUUUUUAGCAACCGUCUUUAAAGAUUGAUUCUUUUCUUUUAUUUCUAUUAAGAUUUGGUGGUGCUGGUGGUGGCAGAGGUGCAUAUGAGUGACAGUAAUGGUGAUGGCUGAGGAUGGGGUAGGUGGUGUGUUUUGUCAUUUUAACAUGUUGUAUAGCUCUUUUGUUUUUCUUAACUAGUGGGGAGGGGGAGCUCCAAGGCUUUUGUUAUGGGGUUGGCUUGAUGCUGGUAGGGAAUUUAAUGUGUUUGAGCAGAUUGCAAUUAUGUUAAAUAGAAAGAGAAAAAAGUUAAGAGGCAUUUAUUGAGUAUAUUGUGUUUGCAUUACAAUUUUUCCUUGUUUUGUUCACACAUCAAAAUGACAAGCUGGAAGUUGUAAUAUUUCUGUUCAAGAAUACUUUUAUUUUGAGUAAAAUAUCCUCACUCUUAAAUUUUAAUUGAAAUUACACGAAAAUUUAUUAAUUUUUAAAAUAGAUAUUCCGUUCCAAAUAUUUAAACAACAUUAAUAUUAAAUAUGAAAUAUCUAAAAUGUUGAUUUUUUUAGUGAUUUUUUUCUCUCAGGUCAAUUGAUGGCGUCUUUGCAUUGAUCGACCAUUCAUGGAGAGCAUUAAAUCGGUGCUCUUUGAGAACAUCGAAGUCUCGAUUGGGCUCUCCAAGAGAGCACCAAAUCCAGUGCGCACCGAUGCUCCCUUAGGGAGCCCCAAAUUGGGCUGCCUCCAAAGGAGCACCAUGCUCCCUUUAUAAAAAAAAAAUUAAUAAAAUUAUAUACUAAUAAUAUUUAAAAUGAAUAAAAAGUAAAGUUAUUUUUUUAAUAUUAUCACGUCAUUAAACUAACGAAAACACUGACGAUUAACUAAUGAUUAAAUCUAUGUAUCUAACGAAAGAUAUUUUUUUGAAGCAAAAUAUCUAUUUCGAAAACUAAUGAACAUUUUUAUAAUUUCAAUAAAAACUUUGAAGAAUGAAGAUAUUUUACCCUUUUAUUGUCUCCUCUUUGAACUCCUCCCACCAUCAAAUCCCCUUGUUCUAAAAAUUCCAUUUUUUUUUUAUUUUUAAUUUUAAUCAAUAGAAAAAUACUUUCAAGAGUGGAGGUGGGUGAUAUGUCAUGGGGCUCUUUUUUCUAUUAAAAAAACUCAUGACAUGAUUCAACAUCUUCAUUGAGCGAAGAUUGGAGUGCUAUGGCUUCAGCCUUCAACCAACAUCUCUAACUUAAUUAAAAUGGGCAAUUGGGUGGAUGAGGUUGGCUUUCAUUUUAAGUUUGAGUUAUUUCGAAUUUUAAUUUUUUAGAUUUAAGAUUAUUUCGGGUGUAGGUGAUGACUUUUAGAAUCAGAUCAAACUGAGUUAAGAUUUUAUCAAUUCUUUUAAUUAAGGUCACAUUUUAAUUAAUUUGUGAAAUAUUUUGAAUCUUGAUUUUUGAUAUCAUAUGUUUUCUUUUUUAAAAAAACAAUCAUUCAUAUGAAAAGAUAAAAACAAGUAAAUUAAAAGUUAUUUUCUAAUUUAGUAUUACUUUAUAUAAAAUAUGGAAAUACGAGAAUAAUAUUUAUCAAUAUUCAAUUAAAUUAAUAUUUUAAAAUAUUUUAUAAAAUUUAAGUAAAUUUUGAGGCAAAAAUGGGAUAAUGAUGACUACAUAUGCAUGGGACACAUUAUUUUAUAAAAUUUAAGUAAGUUUUGAGGCAAAAAUGGGAUAAUGAUGACUACAUAUGCAUGGGACACAUUCUUAAUGGAAUGUCAGAUGCAUUGUUUGAUACGUACCAAAAUGGAGCUAUUACAAAACAACUUUGGGACAAAUUGGAAGCAAAAUACAUAGCUCAAGAUGCGAGUAGCAAGAAAUUUUUGGUUAGUCGUUUCAAUAAGUCGUUAUAUUAUGGAGCAAUUACAUGAACUUGAACGCUUUCUAAAUAGCUUUAAGCAAUAUGGUUUUAGAAUGGAUGAAGCUAUUAUGGUUUCUGCUAUAAUUGAUAAGCUCACCUCUCAUGGAAAGACACUAAGAAAACUCUAAAACAUAAACAAAGAAAAUGUUUCUUAAGGACCUUGGUAAUCAUCCUCGAAUAUAAGAAGAUUAUGAUAAACAACAAGAAGUCAAACAAGAUGAAAAAGAAAAAGCUUUUAAUGAAAAGAAUUUUGAGACUUUGAAGGUCCAUGUGGUGGAAUACAAAUCAUCAAACAAGUCGGUCUCAUAGCAACAAGAGAAAACAUUCUAUGGGUAUGAAUGACAAACAUCAUAAGAUCAAAAAGAACAAAAAUGGGCCAUGUUUCCAUUGUAACAAACUUGGACACUUCAAGGCGAAGUGUAAGCUUUUGAAAAACAAGACACAAUGUGUGAAUAACAAGAAAUUUGUAGCUAUGGUUUCCAAGGUCAAUCUUCUUUAAGAUGAUGGAGCAUGGUGGAUUGACACUAGUGCAACUAAUCAUGUAUGUAAUGACAAGAGUUUCUUCAAGACUUUGGAAGCAGUUAAUGAUGGAACUAUGUUGUAUAUGGGAAAUUCCUCCACUAUACAAGUAAAAGGAAAAGGCACCAUGGAACUUAUGUUUACUUUUGGAAAAUUACUUGUAUUGAACAAUGGCUAUUAUGUGCCGGAAGUUAGAAAUAAUCUUGGGUCAGGUGGUUUGUUGAAUAAGUAUGACUUCAAAUUAGUAUUUGAAGCAGAUAAGUUCAUCCUUACAAAAGGUGGAUAAUAUUUGAGAAAUGGACAUUUUUGUGAAAACAUGUUCUAGCUUAAUAUUAAUAAGAAUAUUACUAGUUUUACUUAUAUUGAUGCUCAUUUAAUGUUCAUGAUAGUAAAACAACUUUGUCUAAUUUAUGGCAUAAUAGGUUAAGUCAUGUUCAUUAUAGAAGAAUGCAUGAUAUGACUAAAUUAGAGUUAAUACCCAAUAUAGAUGUAUAUAAUGUUUUGUGUGAGACAUGCGUGGUUACUAAAAUCACAAGAAGCUCAUUUCCUAAGGUAGAAAGAAACUCCAAAUUGGUUGCAUUAAUAUAUUUUGAUGUUUGUGACAUGCAUAAUAAUCCAUCUAUUGGUGGAAAGAAAUAUUUCGUAACAUUUAUAGAUGACUUAUCUAGAUAUUGCUAUGUUUACUUAUUACAUGCUAAAGAUGAAGUAAUGAAGAAAUUUAGAAUUUAUAAAAAUGAAAUUGAAUUGCAUUGUGAAUUGCUUAUCAAACGUUUACGAAGUGAUAAAGGAAGUGAAUAUUAUGAUCCCAAGUAUUUUGAGUCCACUAGUAUUAUUCAUGAGAUUACCGCUCCAUAUACACUAGAACAAAAUGGUGUAGCGGAGCAUAAAAAUUGAGUUUUUAUGAAAAUGGUUAAUGUGUUGCUUUCUAAUUCAAGUUUAGGAAAGGAAUUUUGGGGCAAAACCUUGUUAAUGGCUUGCCAUAUACUAAAUAAAAUCUUAAACAAAAUGAGUAAAAUUACUCCUUAUGAGCUAUGGAAAAGAAAAAAGCCAAAUCUUAAUUAUUUAAGAGUUUGGAAAUUUCAAGCCAUAUAAGAGUUCUAGAACCAAAGAAAAGAAAAUUGGGUGAAAAAGGAAUUGAAUAUAUAUUUAUAGGAUAUGUUAAACAUAGUAAAGCAUAUCGUUACUUUCAUGGUGAUAGAGCCUAAUGAUUCAUAUUCCAUUAAUACAGUCAUAGAAUCAAGAGACAUAUUUUUGAUAAAAUAAGAUUCAAUUCAAUUUCAAGACCCAAAGAACUAGUAACAGAAAGUGAUAAACUUUCAAAAAAUGGUGAGGAAAUUAUUAAUAUUCGAAGAAGUAAAAGAAUUAGAAAAGCAGAGACAUAUGGAUCCGAUUUUCUCAUGUACUUAAUAAAAGGUACAAUAGAAUAAACAUAUGAAUACUUACCUUACUACUUUAAUGUAGAAGCUGAUGGUGAUCCUCAAAUUUAUGAGGAGGUAAUGAAGUUUCAAGAUGCUUCAUUUUGGAAAGAAGCAAUACAAGAUGAGAUAGACUCGAUAAUAGGAAACAAAACUUGAAAGUUGGUAAACCUCCCACCAGGCUCCAAGCCAAUAGGUUGUAAAUGGAUCUUUAAAAAGAAAAUCAAAGUUAUGGAAUCGUAGAUAAGUUUAAAACAAGGUUGAUGGCAAAGGGCUUUAAACAAAAAGAAGGUAUUGAUUAUUUUGAUAAAUAUGCACUGGUAACAAGAAUAGUUACAAUUAGAGUGCUUAUAACACUUGCAUCUAUACAUAAGAUGGUAAUACAUCAAAUGGAUGUUAAAACAGCAUUCUUAAAUGGUGAAUUAGAUAAAGAAGUGUAUAUGGAACAACAUAAAGAGUUUGUCUUUCCUGGUCAAGAAAAAGAAGUGUCUAUGAUUGUAAAAUUCUUGUAUGGAUUAAAACAAGCACCUAAACAAUGGCAUCAAAAGUUUGAGGAGGUAGUGCUAGCUAAUGGCUACAAGAUCAAUCAAUUUGAUAAAUAUGUCUAUAGCAAGUUCCAUAAUGGUAAAGGUGUUAUUAUUUAUCCAUAUGUGGAUGACAUGCUAAUUUGAUAUAUUAGACUUCGACACAGAGUUGUAAGAUAAAGAAUUAGUGAUGGCAUAGUUACUAUAAGUUAUGUGAGGUUUUGUGAAAAUUUAUGUGAUUCAUUUACCAAAGUUCUGAAAAAAGACUUGGUAAUAAAGACCUCAAGAGGGAUGGGUCUUAAGCCUAUCAACUAAAUCUCCAAUGAUGGGAGCUUACUUCAAUGCUUGUGGUCGAUCUACAAGUCUUGAGUACUGACCAUUCUACCAUAUGGAUGAUUACAAGCACUAAUUUAUAUUUUUCAUCCCAAGGUGUAUAGUGUUUGGCUCCCGUAAUGUGUAAGGUAAGCUUGAACAAAAAUUCUUACUAGAAUAACAUGUGUAUGUUGAAUUCCAUAAUUACAAAAAACUUCCAAUGAGGGCUUCCUGUGUGAAUGGAACUAUGGAUGCAUCCAAGAGGUAAAGGCUUGACUCUAACAACACUCAUGAAUAGAUGCAAAACACAAGGCCAUAAAACAUGUUGGCAAAACUAGAUACAAAGUGAGCAAGGAAGUUUGUGUGUGUUAAGUGGCAAAACUAGUCAAAUGAAGAAUCGAUGGUUCAAUGCUCAGUCAACCACUCAAUUCAGACUAGAACAACCAAACUCACUAAGUGAAGGUUUAAAUCUAUGGGAUACCUUCAUUUAUGCACAAGAUUCUCAAAGUUGUUGGUAUUUGAAAAUUUUGAAAAUGGUGGGAGAUUGUUGGUGUAUUUUCAAAAUCAAAAGUUAUGUCACAUAGUGACUCGAUCAAAACAGUAAUUGGCAUUUUUUAUUGUGAGACCUUGAUCUUUAUAGACUCGUAGCUAGAAGUAGACGCAAUAUCAUUGACUAGGGGUAAUUUCGUCAUUUCCUUAGUGAGCCCCUAAAAGUAUGCUUUCAAGAAUUAUUAAGGCCUAAGUAGGCCUAAGGCAUAAAUGAAUGAUAAAAAAUAAGGAUAAAAUGAUGAAGGAAAUAGAAAUAAUGAUGAUUUCUAAGGUAAGGGCAAAAUUGUCAUUUUUCAUCUCGAGUCAAAAUUUUUAAGUUUUUGUGAACUCAAAUAUUUCUAGACUAUUUUGGACUUUGUCUUAGUGUCAAAAGAGUAAAAAGAUUGCACAAAGGAUUGGAGGAAGAUAAAGCCAACUUGUUAAGGGUAUUUUCGUAAUUUAAGUGGAGUUUGGAUAAGCUUUAGCUAUAAAUAUCAUUUUCCAACAGCAUCUUCUCAUUUUUCAGCAGCUUCUUCUUUUUCUUCCUCCCAUCUCACAUUUCUUUCAUCUUCCAUGGAAGCUUGUAUUGAAACCUCCAUAACUUCUCUCAAGUUAACUCCAAUUUUCAUGCUUUUGUGCAUUUUUUCAUAGAACCUUUUAUGCUCUUUCACUCUCUCACUUUAAAACCCUUAAAAAGUCUUACUUCCAUACUUCCUCUCACUAGCUAGGUGUUUUAUAGAGAGAAAGAGGGAACUUCUAUAGCUUGAAAAUUUUUAAAAGAAAUUCAAUUACAAAUCCACCAAGGUGAGUGAACUUACAUUUAAAAUAUUUUGGAAAAUGUAUUGGUAUUUGGAUGAAGCAUGUGAAUGAUUUUUAUUUAAUUUUUCCUUAAAGAUUAUGCAUGGGAACAAGCCUUUAUUAAAACAUUUUAUGUGGUGAGUGUGCAAUAUGAUGAAUCUUUGUGCUCCUAUAGGAUGUUGAUAUAUAUAUGUUGUGUAUCGAUAGUUAAUAUUGUGUAAUAAAUAUAACCGUGCAUGUGCGCGAUGUGGGAGAUGCACAUGCCUGUGAUGACGGGUAUGGGAAUGUGGAUGAUGAUAUUGCCUGUGCGCGAUGUGGGGGAUGCACAUAGCAGUAUUAGCUGUGCACGAUGUGGGGGAUGCACACACACGAUGACUCCAGCUAUGUGCGUGAUGUGGGGGUUGCACAUGAGCUGGGUGAGACGGUGGUGGUAUUGGUGUUUAUAUAUGUAUAUAUAUGCAAUAAAAAGUUCAUGAAUAUAAUAUAUGGUUGUAAGGUAUGUGAAAUCUUGCAUGUUGAACCUUGAAAAUUGCUAAGUAUUUUUAAGUUGAUUUUGUCAUUGCAGCAGAAUGGUCUUUUCUUGAUAUAAUGAGAAUUUUUUUUCUUGGUGUUUUGUUUCUCGCUGCAGCGAGAUGUCUACAGGUGGUUUCACUGCAAGGAGAAACCUUCUAUGGUGCUUGCUACCUUGUUUGGUUUUUACCAUAUUUUCCAUUUAUUUAACAUCAUAGUUGAUCAUGGACUUCCAACAUCAAGGAAUUAAUUAAUUAAGUUUGAAAGGAGGAGUUUUAGUGAGAAACCCUCGGCCAGUUGAUGAUUUAAGCCCAAAUUUUGCUGCAGCUAGAAUGCCUUUCCGUUGCAACGAGGAUCAGUCAUUUCACUUGACUUGCUUCAAUGCUACUAAAGUUUUCACUCUUCAAAUUCUUUAUUGUGCAUGGAUCCCUCAUCAUCAAGUGAUUAACCAAUUAAGGGUUUAAUGAGGGGUUUUAAUAAGAACUAAACUAAAUUGCAUUGUUUUUGAAAAUAAAUGCAUCAUGAUUUCCUUAAACUUUUCUUGUCGUUUGCUUGUUCGCUUCCUUUGUUCACUCACUGGAUUUAUACUCACUAUUUUCAACUUCAUGUUUUCAGAUCAAGAGGUAAUCGGUAACUAGGUCGAGGUGUCCUUGUAGAUUCGUCUCCUUGGUCGGAAUCUCGGCAUUCAAUAGCUGUACUUUUGCCCUGGUCUCUCCGUUGGAAGUCGAGUAUCCUUUUUGUUGUGUAUAGAUAAACUCGAUGUAAAUUAUUAAGAUGUAUGUUUUAGACAAUAUAUGUAUAUUUGAUUGGUAAUGCCACUAUGAGUUGGCAAUGGUUAGCAUUAUUUUGAAUUGGAAUUAUGAAAUGUGACUUUAGAAACUUUUGAUAGAAUGAUGAACAGGUCAUCUAAAUAGGCUUGCUUGGGCUUAGUGGGCUGUGCCCAUUAGGCCCAUGUGCUGAUCAUAGCCCAGAAUUCGGAUCGUGACAGUCUUGCAUGCUUCAAGCUUGAGUUAACACAUUCUGGAAUGUUGGAUGUCAUGAGUUGAUAUCGCCUUGCCGGUGAACGCGCACGUGCCCAUCUCUCAGGGCCUACUCUCAUAAGGUUAAAGUGGGCUCCCGCGUGAAUUUGCUUGAGCUAGUUCAUACGUUUGUUGAAAUCAAAAACCUUAUAGCAAUCUCGAGCAAAGGUGAAAAUUAUAGAAACGUCGUCCCGCUUGAACUUGUUUUUAAAGUUUUUCUUCAAGUGGUAACCUCAUAAACCAUGGUGCACUUCUUGGUAUGCAUUUUGGAUUGCUUUCUUAGUGCAUGUUUGGCCUAGCUUUUUUUCAACUUAUUUACCUCUUAAAAGUAAAAGCCAAGCCAAACAUUAUUUUUUGAGAAGCUCUUAAAAAAAAGUAAUUUUUUUUUUUAAAGAACAAAAUUUUUAAAAAACGAGCUUAAAAAAAGCUCCAUGAAGGAGCUUUUUCUUCUCUUCUUUUAGAAACACAUUAAUUUUCAAGAAAUACCCAUCUCUUAAUUGAUCUCCCUUUCUCUCCUUCCCUCUACAAAUUAUCAUUCUUCAACAUAAAUCAUGAUUUCCUUUUCUUUACCUCUCUCUAUAAAAAUUAAUAAAAAAAUAGAAGACCUAACAACAGAAUAUCAAAAUUUAGAAUUUUUUUGUUCUUACAAAGAUUAAGAGAAAAGAAUCUAAAAUUCAAAACUGCAUUCAAAUAUUAUUUAAAGAUUUUCUCUCUGUUUCACCAAAAAAGAUUUUAAUAUUAAAUACAUCAUUUUCUCUUUUCUCUUCUUUUUUAGGAAUUGAAGCAUCAUGGUCCGAUUGCUUGUUAGAUCAACAAAAAUCUAAUACUAUUGCUACUAUACAAGUUUGAAAAUUAUUCCUUUUUUUUUAUUGAUUUCUUCAAUUUUAACAUCUGAAAUUAUAUACAAACUUGAAGCAUUACAUUAUAACUUAUUAGGUUAUUGAAGAUAGCAUGAAUACCUUUUAUGGUAAUUUUAACUGAAAUUAAAGCUUAUAUAAUUUAUUUUGUUAAACAGUUUACCAAACAGCUUUAAUUUAAUUUUAAAAGUUAUUAUUUUUCAUAAGAGCUUAAUAAUAGCUUUUAAGUUAAAAAAAAGCUAGGCCAAACAGGCUCUUAAUGUCGAGAUGCUAAUAAAAAAUGAACAUAGUGUUUUCAGGACAACCAACAGUCUCACGCAGCUUGCUAAGAAACCACGUCCACGAGUCUUCGUCCUCAACAUGGCUUAUGCCAAAUGCAACUGGACAUAUGCGCUCAUUCGCAUAUUUGCAUACAGCGACAAAAAGAACACCUUUGAACAUGCCUUUCAGAUGUGUCGCAUCAAUUGCAACCGUAAGACGCAUUACAUCCCUAAACCCCCGAAUACAAGCCUUGUAUGAUCAGAAACAAUAUUUGAAUCUUUGUGCCUUAUCAGUAGCCACUGCAGUGACUAUGCUGGGAUUUUCUUAUUCUAACAUAUAAAAAUACGAGGGUGGUAGUUGAAAUGACUCUUCUGAGGGAUCGAAAACAAGCCUCUACGCAUACUCCUUCGUUAGCCAGGCCUUACCAUAUAAGCAUUCCAAUCCCCAUUGAACCCUCAUCUCACCAAUUAUGUCCUUAGGUCUCAAUGCGACUCCAUUAGCCUGAAGCUUGUGUGACAUAAGUUCACCAAUUAUCUUAGCACUCGCAGUUCAAAAUUACCCUUGCAAACCAUUGACAGUACACAUGUUUACUUUAUGGAACAUCCGAACUUGCCAAUAUUCUCCUUCAGGUAACUUCAUUGCACACACAACUAACUUGCAUGCCUUGUUCUUACAACCAACCUUAAAACAACCUUUACAUGACCUUUUUACUUUUAUCUCAAGCUGCUCUUUUAGAGCCAACAUGUUCAAAUCUCUUUUUAACUCAGCCUUCGAGGAAAACAUUUUUCCUUAGUAUAAGCGAUCAUCGACACAUGUCGACUCCUUAGUGGCAAUUGUUUAAAAGGAUAACCUUUCUGCAUUAAGAAUUAUCCAUGUACUAGAUAUCCUUGUAUUUCCCCUUUCCCAAUAAUUGUCAUCGAGCAAUGUCUCAGGCAAACGAAUCCCGUUCUCACCAACGAUGGAGUUGUUGUAUAUGGGGUCAUCACACUAAAUAUCUCCUUCAUCACACUGAAUAUCUCCUACAUCAACACCUCCAAUAGGUUCUAUUUCGCCUUCAACAUUAUUGAAAAUUGGAAUGUUACUAUCAUAAAGGCAAUCAUUGUGUAAACUGUCAUCAUGCCAUUCAUCAAACCCGUCAUCUGAAUUGUCAUCAAAUCUAUCUUCACCGGUAGGGAACAAACCCUCAUUUCCCUCAUCAUAUGCAAUAUUAUCCUCGAGCAUCGCAGUGUCACCCUCCAACCUCGUAGUGUUGUCCUCAAGUGUCGUAGUCUCAUUUGAAAAUGGCAUUACACUCUCUACACUUUCACCUGAUCGUUACAUUUGUUGGACAAAAGCAAGUAAUUGGUUCAAUGCACAUGCUGAUUGGACUUGUGUGCAGCCAACUGUUCUGUGAAUGUUGUGUGUCCACCGAGCUACCUAAACUCUUGUGCAUACGUCAAUUGCUAUUGUUGUGGGUUACGAACCGAAUGUUGUGGUAUAUGUGAAGCACUAUAAAUCCCAUUUUGAUUGAGCUGAUUACCAUGUUGUACAGCUUCUUCAUGUGACAUAACAUUUGUAUGGCAUUCUUUAAUGGUGUCAUACACAUCCGGAACAUUCUUUUUUUCUAGCAGAAUUAAUGCAACAUCCUCAUCGUCCUUGAUAAUUGGGCGUGAUAGCUCUUUGGGUGUACUAAUCAAUGCAUGUAACUGAAUCUCAUGAAUUUUUGAGUUUACCUCAACAACAUCUUCUACCAGCUUCAUCAAGGCCGCAAACGACAAAUCACCCUUAACCCCACGCAUUUGUGACUCACGACCUUUGUAAAUGCCAUCCACCCAUUGACCACCAUGUCUUAUCACAAGUCGCACAAUUGGAACCCCACUGAAAUUUUCGAAACAAAAAAUUCGUCAGUCAUUUUACACAUUACAUGCCGUGUUCUAAAAUUUAUUAGUCAUGUUGUUAGACGUCAUGUUCAAUAAAAAUGUUACAUGCUAUGUGCUGACAUAUGUUAUUUUCUUAUUUCAAUAUAUUUUUUACGCACCAUAUGCAUUAGAGAUGCAUGGCGUGUAACAACUCUAGGUAAUGUUUUUAAUCCAUGUUCUAGUUUACACAAAAAGUUUCAGAAAGUAAUGUGUUGUAGCAAUUAACCCAAUAAUAUACCUUGAUAUCAUCUCUGCUCUAGGGUCUGUUUAUCGACGACGAUAUGACCAGAUGUCAAGAGAUAGAGCACAACACGAUGAUGAUGGUGCUCAAUAGAGAGUUGACAAAGCUAAUACAGUUCAGAGAGCUGAGAGAGCUAAUUACGACGCUACUCAACAGAGAGUUGACAGAGUUGAUACAGUUCAGAGAGCUGAGAGAUAGAGAGAGUUGAGCGAGCUGAAAUAGUUGAGCAUUUAUUUCUAUUUUCUUUAUGGCGGGAGGGAGAUAUCAAGAGAUUAAAUUGCCAAGAUGUUUUUAAGGGCAUUUUGGUCUACCCAUGCUUGUUUUUGGGUAAAAACAGAUAACUUUAUAUGAGUGGCUAUUUUUGAAAUCACCUUAUGAGGAAAGUUAUUUCUCACACUUUCCUCUAUUAUUAAAAAAUAUCCAACAAAUCAAACAUACUAAAUAUUUAAAAGAAGUCAGUCUUAUUACAUAUAAAACUCAUAAUCCUACAUUGGUAAUUUCUUUUAUUGGCUGCUCACAGUCACACACAAAGCUGGGAAAAGAAUACCAAAGCAUUUCAAGCACAAAUAACCUUAUUAGGAUACAUAAAAACGUAGUGUAAUAAAAAGAAAAGAUUGAAAGCACACUCUCAAGGACUCGUAUGAGGUAGUUUAAUCACUUCGUUUAUUUGUUAUCUGGAAACGAGUAAUAAGCCUGAAUAGCGGAGAAGAGAAGCCCAAUUAUGGCACCCAAAAAGCCGAGGAAUGUCCAUGGGCUACUAAAAUGGGUGUAGUAGGCUUGAGCCAUUGCGGUCGUGCAGGGAUUGUUGCCGUACUUGUGGAUAUUGUCCGUAACAUCCUUGUACAUAGCCUGAUCUGGCACCAAGUCCCUGCUUAAUUUGUUGAAAAGAUCAGCCACUUCUUCAUCGCUGCCCAAGUAAUUGUGGAGCAUACCUGUAACUCGCAUUUCCUUAACAUCUUCUGCUGUGUCAAUGAGAGAAUCAAGGAAGUAUAAGUAAGAGGUGACCGCAAAAUCAUUCUCAAAAUCUCGACACAUUUCUAAAGCUACCAAGUUCAAGAACUUGGAAGCUGUUGAGUCAUCCACCAGGAUGCGUGGCAUCUUUAGGCUGCCCAGAAAGUUGCAAUAGAAGGAAAUAUUAUUCAGGUUGUUUGUCUCGCUGGGUCCAACACCAAUCCCUGAUUCUUUAAGCUCCUUGACGCUACGAAAUGUCUUCCUGUGCUUUCGGAAGUCUCCGCAUGACAGAAGCAAGCGACCUAUCAUACUACUGCUACUCUCCUCUUUCUUUC